rnacentral:tRNA from 1 species
AAGAUUUUAAGUUAAAAUAAACUAUUAUCCUUCAAAGCUAAAAAUAUAAGAAUUUCUUUUAAAUCUUA